rnacentral:rRNA from 1 species
ACGACUUGGGCACUGUCUCGGCCAUGAGCUCGGUGAAAUUGUGGUAUCGGUGAUGACGCCGAUUACCCGCAGCGGGACGAAAAGACCCCGUGAACCUUUACUACAACUUUACAUUGGCUUUAGCUGUAUCAUGUGUAGGAUAGGCGGGAGACUUUGAAGCGGCGUCGCCAGGCGUUGUGGAGUCACCCUUGAAAUACCGCCCUUGCCACAGGUGAAGUCUAACCCUUCCGGGGGAACAGUGUAUGGUGGGUAGUUUGACUGGGGCGGUCGCCUCCUAAAGAGUAACGGAGGCUCCCAAAGGUACCCUCAGCACGGUUGGCAAUCGUGCGUAGAGUGUAAAAGCAUAAGGGUGCUUGACUGCGAGACAUACAGGUCGAGCAGGCACGAAAGUGGGGUUUAGUGAUCCGGUGGCACCGCAUGGAAGGGCCAUCGCUCAAAGGAUAAAAGGUACUCCGGGGAUAACAGGCUGAUACCCCCCAAGAGUCCACAUCGACGGGGGUGUUUGGCACCUCGAUGUCGGCUCAUCGCAACCUGGGGCUGAAGUCGGUCCCAAGGGUUGGGCUGUUCGCCCAUUAAAGCGGUACGCGAGCUGGGUUCAGAACGUCGUGAGACAGUUCGGUCCCUAUCUGCCGUGGGUGUACGAGACUUGAGAGGAUCUGUCCCUAGUACGAGAGGACCGGGAUGGACGAACCUCUGGUG